UGGGGGAUAUUGCACAAUGGGCGAAAGCCUGAUGCAGCGACGCCGCGUGGGGGAUGAAGGCUUUCGGGUUGUAAACCUCUUUCGCUAUCGAACAAGGCCCGCUUAGGGUGGGUGGAGGGUAGGUGGAGAAGAAGCGCCGGCUAACUACGUUCCAGCAGCCGCGGUAAUACGUAGGGCGCGAGCGUUGUCCGGAAUUAUUGGGCGUAAAGGGCUUGUAGGCGGCUUGUUGCGCCUGCUGUGAAAACGCGGGGCUUAACUUCGCGCGUGCAGUGGGUACGGGCAGGCUUGAGUGUGGUAGGGGUGACUGGAAUUCCAGGUGUAGCGGUGGAAUGCGCAGAUAUCUGGAGGAAAACCGAUGGGGAAGGCGGGUCACUGGGCCAUUACUGACGCUGAGGAGCGAAAGCAUGGGUAGCGAACAGG
rnacentral:rRNA from 1 species